rnacentral:rRNA from 1 species
GCCUUCGGGUUGUAAACCUCUUUCAGUAGGGAAGAAGCGAGAGUGACGGUACCUGCAGAAGAAGCGCCGGCUAACUACGUGCCAGCAGCCGCGGUAAUACGUAGGGCGCAAGCGUUGUCCGGAAUUAUUGGGCGUAAAGAGCUCGUAGGCGGUGUGUCGUGUCUGCUGUGAAAGCCCGGCGCUCAACCCCGCGUCUGCAGUGCGUACGGGCAGACUAGAGUGCAGUAGGGGAGACUGGAAUUCCUGGUGUAGCGGUGAAAUGCGCAGAUAUCAGGAGGAACACCGAUGGCGAAGGCAGGUCUCUGGGCUGUUACUGACGCUGAGGAGCGAAAGCAUGGGGAGCGAACAGGAUUAGAUACCCUGGUAGUCCAUGCCGUAAACGUUGGGCACUAGGUGUGGGGGACAUUCCACGUUUUCCUCGCCGUAGCUAACGCAUUAAGUGCCCCGCCUGGGGAGUACGGCCGCAAGGCUAAAACUCAAAGGAAUUGACGGGGGCCCGCACCAGCGGCGGAGCGUGCGGAUUAAUUCGAUGCAACGCGAAGAACCUUCCCAAGGCUUGACAUUCACCGGACCGCCCCAGAGAUGGGGUUUCCCUUCGGGGCUGGUGGACAGGUGGUGCAUGGUAGUCGUCAGCUCGUGUCGUGAGAUGUUGGGUUAAGUCCCGCAACGAGCGCAACCCUCGUUCUAUGUUGCCAGCACGUGAUGGUGGGGACUCAUAGGAGAAUGCCGGGGUCAACUCGGAGGAAGGUGGGGAUGACGUCAAAUCAUCAUGCCCCUCAUGUCUUGGGCUUCACGCCUGCUACAAUGGCCGGUACAAAGGGUUGCGAUACUGUGAGGUGGAGCUAAUCCCAAAAAGCCGGUCUCAGUUCGGAUUGAGGUCUGCAACUCGACCUCAUGAAGUAGGAGUCGCUAGUAAUCGCAGAUCAGCAACGCUGCGGUGAAUACGUUCCCGGGCCUUGUACACACCGCCCGUCAAGUCACGAAAGUUGGUAACACCCGAAGCCGGUGGC